rnacentral:snoRNA from 1 species
CUUCUCAUUUAUUUGUUGCUAUAGUUUCACAAUGAUAUGAGCUGUUAUAUGCAUGGGAUAAAGUAAUAUUGGGCCAUUAUAAAUGAAGAGCGAAAUAACCAUUUUCAUCUCUUUUGCCUAGACUAGACAUUG